rnacentral:tRNA from 1 species
ACCUGGGUGGCUCAGUCGGUUAAGCAUCUGACUUCGGCUCAGGUCAUGAUCUCAUGGUCCGUGGGUUCGAGCCCCGCGUCAGGCU